rnacentral:lncRNA from 1 species
CGGCAGGGGGCGGUGUAAUAAUGGCUCCAGCCGGCAGGUGGCGGUGUAAUAAUGGCUCCAGCCGGCAGGUGGCGGUGUAAUAAUGGCUCCAGCCGGCAGGGGGCGGUGGAAUAAUGGAUCCAGCCGGCAGGUGGCGGUGUAAUAAUGGCUCCAGCCGGCAGGUGGCGGUGUAAUAAUGGCUCCAGCCGGCAGGUGGCGGUGUAAUAAUGGAUCCAGCCGGCAGGUGGCGGUGUAAUAAUGGGUCCAGCCGGGAGGUGGCGGUGUAAUAAUG